rnacentral:rRNA from 1 species
UACGUAGGGUGCGAGCGUUUAAUCGGAAUUACUGGGCGUAAAGCGUGCGCAGGCGGCUUCGCAAGUCAGACGUGAAAUCCCCGGGCUUAACCUGGGAAUGGCGUUUGAAACUACGGAGCUGGAGUAUGGCAGAGGGGGGUGGAAUUCCACGUGUAGCGGUGAAAUGCGCAGAUAUCAGGAAGAACACCCGUGGCGAAGGCAGCCCCCUGGGAUGACACUGACGCUCAUGCACGAAAGCGUGGGGAGCAAACAGG